rnacentral:rRNA from 1 species
UACGUAGGGGGCAAGCGUUAUCCGGAUUUACUGGGUGUAAAGGGAGCGUAGACGGCAGUGCAAGUCUGAAGUGAAAGGCGGGGGCCCAACCCCCGGACUGCUUUGGAAACUGUGCUGCUGGAGUGCAGGAGAGGCAAGUGGAGUUCCUAGUGUAGCGGUGAAAUGCGUAGAUAUUAGGAGGAACACCAGUGGCGAAGGCGGCUUGCUGGACUGUAACUGACGUUGAGGCUCGAAAGCGUGGGGAGCAAACAGG